rnacentral:rRNA from 1 species
AGCGAACAGGAUUAGAUACCCUGGUAGUCCACGCCGUAAACGAUGAUCACUAGAUGUUGGCGAUAUAAUGUCAGCGUUCAAGAGAAAUCGAUAAGUGAUCCACCUGGGGAGUACGUUCGCAAGAAUGAAACUCAAAGGAAUUGACGGGGGCCCGCACAAGCGGAGGAGCAUGUGGUUUAAUUCGAUGAUACGCGAGGAACCUUACCAAGGCUUAAAUGUAAUAUGACCGGUUGAGAGAUCAACCUUUUUUCGAACAGAUUACAAGGUGCUGCAUGGUUGUCGUCAGCUCGUGCCGUGAGGUGUCGGGUUAAGUCCCAUAACGAGCGCAACCCCUAUUUUUAGUUACCAGCGAGUAAUGUCGGGAACUCUAGAAAAACUGCCUGUGCAAACAGAGAGGAAGGUGGGGAUGACGUCAAAUCAUCACGGCCCUUAUGUCUUGGGCUACACACGUGCUACAAUGGUUACUACAAUGUGAUGCCAUCUGGUGACAGAGAGCUAAUCAAUAAAGGUAAUCUCAGUUCGGAUUGGAGUCUGCAACUCGACUCUAUGAAGUUGGAUUCGCUAGUAAUCGUAUAUCAGCCAUGAUACGGUGAAUACGUUCCCGGGCCUUGUACACACCGCCCGUCAAGCCAUGGAAGUUUGGGGUACCUGAAGUCAGUAACCGCAAGGAACUGCCUAGGGUAAAACGAAUAACUAGGGCUAAGUCGUAACAAGGUAGCCGUACCGGAAGGUGUGGCUG